rnacentral:rRNA from 1 species
AGUGAACGCUGGCGGUAGGCCUAACACAUGCCAGUCGAACGGCAGCACAGUAAGAGCUUGCUCUUACGGGUGGCGAGUGGCGGACGGGUGAGGAAUACAUCGGAAUCUACUUUUUCGUGGGGGAUCACGUAGGGAAACUUACGCUAAUACCGCAUACGACCUACGGGUGAAAGCAGUGGAUCUUCUGACCUUGCGCGAUUGAAUGAGCCGAUGUCGGAUUAGCUAGUUGGCGGGGUAAAGGCCCACCAAGGCGACGAUCCGUAGCUGGUGUGAGUGGAUGAUCAGCCACACUGGAACUGGGACACGGUCAAGACGACUACGGGAGGGAGCAGUGGGGAAUAGUGGACAAUGGGCGCAAGCCUGAUCCAGCCAUACCGCGUGGGUUAAGAAGGCCUUCGGGUUGUAAAGCCCUUUUGUUGGGAAAGAAAAGCAGCAGGUUAAUACCCCGCUGUUCUGACGGUACCCAAAGAAUAAGCACCGGCUAACUUCGUG